UGCCUCAAUCGCUCUCAAUUCGACGACGGCUUCUAGCUCUAAUAAAGAAAUAUUGGGCAUGUUGGGGCUUAUAUUUCAAAAGCAAUGUAGCUUGGAAUCACGAUUAGACAGGCUGGGAGAAAACAUGGUUCCGAAAACUGACGUCUUGGUUCACCAUAAGACUUUAAGGGAGUCGAAAGUCCUCGCCAAAAAGGCCCACC